UGUUCCCUCUCCUACGAAAAUUCUGAAACUCUUGGUGUCAUGCGUUCGUGAGCCAUGGAAACGUGUGAACGUCGAGCCCUAUCACUAGAGAAAUUAAUGAUCAACGAGCAUCUCCACCACCUCCCUGCCACACAGCACCCUCGCUAAGGACAUCAUCACCGAUCUCCCCUUCACGCAGGGCACUAAAAUAAGCCUUAGACAGCUUCUCCUCGCCAUCGAGUUUUAUUGAAUUAAAUGCAUAAAAUUUGGUAAGAUAAUUAGAGCGUUAGUACCGCCUUUUUAUUAUUUAGUUAAAAGUGAUAUGUAUAUUGGUACCUAUUGGAAGACGUUGCUGACUUUGUUGUAUAUUGAAAAUUGUGUAAUUGUGAUUUCUUGGUUGGAUUUGAAGUGUGGAUAGCGUGUGGUUGUUGUGGUGGUUGCGUGAGAUUUUGUAAGCGGGCUUAAUGUGUUGGACUGGUCUUGAGGUUGGACAAAUUGUGUUGGAUAUGCAGGGAGUUAAGUUGAUGCUCGGGUUUGAGGAGUGGUUGUUUGUUACUGUUUGAGUUAUAUACUAACUGUUAGAGUUAAUGUUAGAUUGUUUGGAUGUAGCUUUUGCUAUUUGGGUUGAUGUUGGUUAUGAGAUAUGUGGUAUUAUGUGGCUGUCCAGUUUUUCUCUAUGGUUGCUAUUGGGUUAAUUAUGUUGGAUUGACAUGUGGAGGUUCGGGUUAGUAUGUUAGUGGUUGGCUGUUUGAGCUAUAUGUCGGCUGUGUUGGAGUCUUCACUGAUAGUUGAGUCCAUGUUAAUAGUUUUCGAGAUUUGUAUGCAGGCUGUUUUUGAAUUGAUGUUGGGUAUUGGGGUGGUUUAUUUGUCUGAUUAAGUGAUGAGGUGUGUCGGGCAGGAACUAUUGCAAGUUGUGUGGAUGCUUGAGUUUGACUUGUGGGCAGGUUGGGUAUUAUAUUCCAUAUGUGAAAAUGAUCAUAAUUUAUAUUGUACUUUUUUUUUCUUGACAUGAUGAAGUAUUUGAAAA